CCUACUUUGAUCCUCCUUCUUUCCUUUUUCUCCCUUUUCUCCCUCCUGCCGCCGCCCCGCCGCGUGCCCGAGACGCCCUUCGGGGUGUAAAGUUCUGUCAGUGGGGACGAAAAAUGACGGUACCCACAGAGGAAGCACCGGCUAACUCCGUGCCAGCAGCCGCGGUAAUACGGAGGGUGCAAGCGUUGUCCGGAAUCAUUGGGCGUAAAGAGUUCGUAGGCGGCAUGUAAAGUCAGGUGUUAAAGGCGCAGGCUCAACCUGUGUAUGGCACUUGAUACUUGCAAGCUGGAAUGCGGUAGAGGUAAAGGGAAUUCCUGGUGUAGCGGUGAAAUGCUUAGAUAUCAGGAGGAACAUCGGUGGCGUAAGCGCUUUACUGGGCCGUAAUUGACGCUGAGGAACGAAAGCCAGGGUAGCAAAUGGGAUUAGAUACCCUUGUAGUC
rnacentral:rRNA from 1 species